rnacentral:tRNA from 1 species
GAAAUAAAAUCCAAAGAAGAAGCUGCUAACUUCAUCUUUAGUGGUUAAAAUCCAUUAGUAUUUCA